rnacentral:lncRNA from 1 species
GUUUGAGGCAUUAUUCCACUGGAUGAGGAUAGCAUAGCUAUUAAACAACAAUUAAUUGAAACAAAUUAAAAUAAGAGGAUCGGGAAUGAAAAAUACCAACCAAAAUAAAAAUAAAAAAUGGAUGUAAACAACAAUCCAAAAAAGUUGAAAUAAGGUGGAUGUGAGCAACUAUAGGCCACCAUGUAGCCUGCAUUAAGGAGAAAAAUCCAUACCGUAUAGUAAGCUAUAUUAGCCCCUUACAUGAAAAUUAUGAAACAAUUUAAUUU